rnacentral:rRNA from 1 species
GGAACCACCUGACCCCAUUCCGAACUCAGAAGUGAAACGGUCUCACGCCAAUGAUAGUCUGGCACUGCCCAGGUGAAAGUAGGUA